GACAGAGGUCCCGAGCGUUAGGCGGAAUCACUGGGCUUAAAGCGUGUGUAGGCGGAUUUGUAAGUACCUUGUGAAAUCCCACAGCUUAACUGUGGAACUGCUUGGUAUACUGCUUAUCUUGGGCCACUUAGGGGUUACCGGAACAAACGGUGGAGCGGUGAAAUGCGUAGAUAUCGUUUGGAACGCCAAUGGUGAAAACAGGUAACUGGGAGUGUGCCGACGCUGAGAUACGAAAGCCAGGGGAGCGAACGGGG
rnacentral:rRNA from 1 species